UGAUUCACUCUUUAUGUCACUGCAGAGUGAUUUCCCAAAAAGUUCAGGCCUUAUUGUGCCUUUGUUCCACUUACAAAGUUUUGACAUUUCCUGGUUGCCUCCAGGGUAAAGGUCUAUCUCCCUGGCCUGGCACGAGAGCCCCUUCCAGCAGGCUUGCUGCUUUCCUCCAAGGCCUCUGCGUUCUGGGUUGCAGGUGCCAAGAGAGUGGUCACCUCCACUUGCAAUGAGCAUUAUUACCCCUUGGCAGAGGUGUGUUUCAAAACAUCACACCAUUUUGCUAGACUCUGCCACCUGCUGAACCUUUCUGGUCUAUCGGGCCUCAAAGUCCUCCCCAAUAAACAGUGCUCUUUAACCCUAGUUCUAUUCCCUGUGCCCCAGGACACAGACCAUCCAAUAUCUCCAUCAACUUUACUCCCUUUACCCAUAGACCACUUCACUACUUCCAAUAAGCCCCCUCACCUCCCAGCACAUCUGGCUGCCUGCUCCUCCCUGAGCCCCCCUAGCACUGCUAGGUCUUACAUUUGCUUUUGUCUCAGCCUGAAGUGUCCUUUCUCUGUAUCUCCAUGCAGAUAAAUCCUAGCCCCAGCUCCAAUAAGCCCGUUUUGCUCCCUGGGCCCCAGCCUGAGCCACCAAAAGCAUUCUUCCUUGAUACUCCUGCUUCACAGCAGGUCACUGUGCCCUUACAGAGGUAGGGCUUUGCUAAGUGAGAGCCAGUAAGGUUACCUAUGGUACCCACAGGAAAAUACAUUUUCCAAGUGUCCAUAAGAUUCACAACUUAGAAAACAGCAGUGGACAUGUGUGCUAUGCCCGGCUCAUAACGCGAGCUCUCUAUUGCCUACUACAUAAAGGCUUAAACUCUUCUGCUCAGCUUCCAAUUCCCUGUCCCCCACUUCCAUUCUAGGCACACUCCACUUCCCAGUGUCCCUUCUUCUGUUUUGACAAGUCAAGAUUAC
rnacentral:lncRNA from 1 species